rnacentral:misc_RNA from 1 species
UCGGUUCUUCAGCACGCGUGAUCUCAUAACGUUUUUUGCUGCUAGUGUGCUUGACAACUUUUGGUUCUCUGUUCCGCCUCGUGAAAAGAGGAAAGCCGCAAGCGAAGCGCAGGCGCACACGCGAGUUCCGUUCGAGGUGCAGUUUCUCGCGCCUUGGUUGCACCUACGGCGCCACAUCAAGAACAGCAGCGGUUCGGCAUCUGCACAGCUACAUACAAGCGCAUACGUGAUCGACAAGGAAGCCGUCUGCGAAAGGCGGCAAGAGGAAGUACGAAUAUCAGUGCCGCCCCCUGCACAAUGUCCUCGUCCAACGCAUCAGACUCGCCUAUGCUAGGCGGUAGGCUCCAAGGCGCGAGCGACACGAACUUUGAUCCACCAGCGUCUAUGAGCAUCGAGGAGACGCCGUCCUUCUCCUCUGCACACCUGGAGUGCGAGCAUAUGAGGCAGUUACAUACGCCGGGCAUCUCUGCGGCCACGUCCGGGCAACGCCGAGGUGGCCACGGCGGCAGCGUCAGUUGCGACAGCUGCAGUGACCUCUACAGCGAAGGCGAAAGCGAGGAUAGCGACCUCUUGGAACGCCCCGGUAACACGGCACUACCCGCGUUCCAGCAUAACCGUCAUCGACUCGGUGCACAUGAAAACAGAAGCGCUCUCCGUGCUCCCCAGUCUCCUCAGGCCAUCCAAUCAGAGAAGCGAGGCGGCAGCGACAGCAGUAGAUUUGGCGCAAAAAGAACAACAUGCUCACUCGGCAGCAUCCCCGUGUCUUACUUCAGCAGCUCCAACGUGAAAUCAUUUGCCUUUCGCGACGAAAUCGGGUGCCACGUGCAGCAUCUGCGCAAUUUCUACAAGAUGAUCGAGGAUGACCGUCUGCCAUGGAUGACGGACUUCGCUGACAUUCACAAGAUGGAGCUGCCGCGCAAGGCGAAGGAGAUUGCGUGGCGGCUCAACCUGAACAUCCCAUACUACUCUUCAAACUACAUUGAAAUCUUCUACGUAGUCACGAUGCCGCUUCUUUUUGUGUGCAACACGCCCUUCUUCGUUGUAACCUUUCUAGCCAUCGUGAUAAUCCACUCCAUCCGAAUGCACAAGAAGAAAACGCACGAGUACGGCGAUAGCGUGGUGGUGUUGGGUCAACAGAUCAGAUACCGCCAGCUGGGCCACCUGCUCGUGUUCGCCUUUGUCAUGCUCUUGAUGUUCUUCAACGGAUUGCGCACGCUGCUGUGGGUGCUCCUGCUGAACGUCUGCAUCAUUGUUCCCCAUGCACUAAUGCGAAAGCCCACGUACUUCGACGACGAGGACCUCGAGAAGUGCCGGCCAAAGAUGGUGCAGUACGCGAUUUGCCUGGUUAUUCUGGUGCUCGCCUACCUGGAAGGCGACCUGUGCGCCGACGAGGCGGCAGAAAGCCGGCGCGCCGUGGAGCGGGAGCGAAAGCGGGUGGCACAGGCUAUGGCGAAGCGCUAGGCAAAGGAUUAACGCUGACGGUUGAGAUAUUUUUCCGGGCGACAACAGCAGUGGAUCGAGAUGGCGCGGGGAAAAAAGCUACUUGCCGUCUUCACACGCUACAGUGGCGCUGUGCUCUGAUGGCAAGAAUGAGGCGCCCCCCGCUGCAGCGUUUCCUUUCUCUUUCUGCAAGUGUGCGCGCCAUGGACUGCCGGUGCUGACGGCGUUUUGUUUUUGUUUUCUGCGCUAGUACUCGUGCCUUUACGUUUGCCCUAUAGUGUGGAUGGCAUCCAUUUGAGUGCUUCGUCUCUGUCCUUCCCUUUGCAGCCGUGUCUCCUCCCCACGGCGCGUGCGUUUUGUACGUGUACGUGUGUUGCACCGACCGACACAGCCACUGCCGUGUGCGCCUGUCCUCGCGUGAAGGAGGAAUGGAGGCAGGUGAGAAGGCGGCGGAUACAUGAAUGAGUAAAUGGAGGAAACGCAAAGAAAGAGCUGUGUGGCUGGAGAUGGACGACUGCGAUGCAACUCCAUCGGCGCAUGCUGCUCACGCUCUUCCCUUCGACUGUACGCUUUUGUGCCCUGGAAGUGUUCUACAAAGGCCAUGGCGACUGUAAACGAGGAUAGGUGGGCUCGUGCGUGCAUUCUUCCUCGACAGUGCUCUUUUUCUUUUUUUUGUUCGCACCUCGAUUCCUCCCUUUCCGCGGCGAUUGUCAAGCUCUGCUUUUAGCCUCUCUCUCCUUCCUCUUAGAUAAUGAUGUGGCCGUAAAUUUUUUCUGUGCUCUGUGUAUGCGUGAGGGUGCACGAGCCCAUCGUAGAUGAGGGUGAAGGGAGACGGCAGCCAACGUUAAGGGCUGCAGUCCUAUUACGCUCAGCUGUGUUUGUGUCUACCCAAGACUGUGACGCGCGCACACACAAGCAACAACUGCCGUAGGUGCAUGAAUAUACUGUGUAAUAGUCAUCGCCUCCGUUCCCAUCUUCCCUUCCGUAUUUCCCUUCUUAG